UGGGGAAUAUUGCGCAAUGGGGGAAACCCUGCCGCAGCAACGCCGCGUGGAGGAUGAAGGCCUUCGGGUCGUAAACUCCUGUCAGGUGGGAAGAAUAGGUUGCAGCGAACAACUGCAACCGUUGACGGUACCACCAGAGGAAGCCCCGGCUAACUCCGUGCCAGCAGCCGCGGUAAUACGGCGGGGGCAAGCGUUAUUCGGAAUCAUUGGGCGUAAAGGGCGCGUAGGCGGCUUGGCAAGUCAAAGGUGAAAUCCCUCGGCCCAACCGAGGAACCGCCUUUGAAACUGCUUGGCUCGAGGCCGGGAGAGGGUAGCGGAAUUCCCAGUGUAGCGGUGAAAUGCGUAGAUAUUGGGAGGAACACCAGUGGCGAAGGCGGCUACCUGGACCGGUUCUGACGCUCAGGCGCGAUAGCGUGGGGAUCAAA
rnacentral:rRNA from 1 species